UACGAAGGGGGCUAGCGUUGUUCGGAAUUACUGGGCGUAAAGGGCUCGUAGGUGGCCAACUAAGUCAUGCGUGAAAUCCCUCGGCUUAACCGGGGAACUGCGUCUGAUACUGGAUGGCUUGAAUCCGGGAGAGGGAUGCGGAAUUCCAGGUGUAGCGGUGAAAUGCGUAGAUAUCUGGAGGAACACCGGUGGCGAAGGCGACAUCCUGGACCGGUAUUGACGCUGAGGCGCGAAAGCCAGGGGAGCAAACGGG
rnacentral:rRNA from 1 species